GAUGAAGAACGUAGCGAAAUGCGAUAAGUAAUGUGAAUUGCAGAAUUCAGUGAAUCAUCGAAUCUUUGAACGCACCUUGCACCCUUUGGCAUUCUGAAGGGUAUGCUCGCUUGAGUGUCAUUGUACUCUCACACUCCCGAUCUUUGCAUUGGGAGCAGUGGACUUGGGUUUGCUGCUUCACCGUCGCUUACCUCAAAUAGGUUAGUGCAACUCUUGGUUGGACAUAGUACGGCGUGAUAAGUGUUCUUCGCCGGUGCCUCGCAAAGAGGGUGGCCGAUCGGGAUGUUGUGCUCCAAACCGUCUUCGGACAAUCUCUGACGACUUGACCUCAAAUCGAGUAAGACUACCCGCUGAACUUAAGCAUAUCAAUAAGCGGAGGA
rnacentral:misc_RNA from 1 species